rnacentral:lncRNA from 1 species
GUUAAGAUGCUACCGUAUUUGGCGACACGGGUAGACACGGAUAUAUGAGAUUUUAGUUGAAAACAUUCCAACAGAUCAGCAAAACAUUUUACCUGAAUUGAAUCUAUAAAACCAUCUAUGUUUAAAUCUCCACAAAUGACCACCUGUGCAUAGUUUUGAAUUAUGUUAUUUAAAAUUUCAUGAAGAUUAUUAAAAAAUACAUCGAUGUCUCCAUCUGGCGAUCUAUAUAUAGUCAAAAUGCAACAGUUGCCAUUUAAGGAGAUUCCAGUGCAUUCAAAAUUUAGUUCCACAUUAAACUGUGCUAAAUAAUCAAUUUCUUUACAUACAUUGAAUCUAUUAUUUUUUAUAUAUAUUGCCACACCUCCAUGGAUGUGACAACUCCUCGAGUAACUAGUAAUUAAAACAUAAUUAUACCAUCCAAGUGUAAGAAGUUUAUCAGAGGAUGCCCCAUGUUCAGUAAUACACAAUAUAUCUGGUUGAUACGUGUCAUUGAAAAUAUCAAGUAAAUUUACCUUAUUAUUUAAGCUUUGUACAUUUAGGUGACACAAAACAUUAAAUGGCACACAGCUACUGAGAAUGUCAAUUUCACUUAUGUUGUCUUCUUGUAGUAGAUCCGCUGAACUUAGGAGAUUUUUGGAAGGUACGUUUUCUACGAAAAAAA